rnacentral:rRNA from 1 species
GUCCACGCCGUAAACGAUGGAUGCUAGCCGUUGGUGGGUUUACUCAUCAGUGGCGCAGCUAACGCAUUAAGCAUCCCGCCUGGGGAGUACGGUCGCAAGAUUAAAACUCAAAGGAAUUGACGGGGGCCCGCACAAGCGGUGGAGCAUGUGGUUCAAUUCGAAGCAACGCGCAGAACCUUACCAGCCCUUGACAUGUCCCGUAUGGGUUCCAGAGAUGGGACCCUUCAGUUCGGCUGGCGGGAACACAGGUGCUGCAUGGCUGUCGU